GACGAACGCUGGCGGCGUGCUUAACACAUGCAAGUCGAACGGAAAGGCCCUGCUUUUGUGGGGUGCUCGAGUGGCGAACGGGUGAGUAACACGUGAGUAACCUGCCCUUGACUUUGGGAUAACUUCAGGAAACUGGGGCUAAUACCGGAUAGGAGCUCCUGCUGCAUGGUGGGGGUUGGAAAGUUUCGGCGGUUGGGGAUGGACUCGCGGCUUAUCAGCUUGUCGGUGGGGUAGUGGCUUACCAAGGCUUUGACGGGUAGCCGGCCUGAGAGGGUGACCGGCCACAUUGGGACUGAGAUACGGCCCAGACUCCUACGGGAGGCAGCAGUGGGGAAUAUUGCACAAUGGGCGGAAGCCUGAUGCAGCAACGCCGCGUGCGGGAUGACGGCCUUCGGGUUGUAAACCGCUUUCGCCUGUGACGAAGCGUGAGUGACGGUAAUGGGUAAAGAAGCACCGGCUAACUACGU
rnacentral:rRNA from 1 species